rnacentral:rRNA from 1 species
GUCGAACGGAGAAUACAUUUUUGAAGCAAUUAGCUUGCUAAGAGUGGAAAUGUUGUAUUCUUAGUGGCGGACGGGUGAGUAACGCGUGGAUAACCUGCCUCACACUGGGGGAUAACAGCCAGAAAUGGCUGCUAAUACCGCAUAAGCGCACAGCAUCGCAUGAUGUGGUGUGAAAAGCGUCAGUGGUGUGAGAUGGAUCCGCGUCUGAUUAGCUAGUUGGUAGGGUAAGAGCCUACCAAGGCGACGAUCAGUAGCCGGCCUGAGAGGGUGAACGGCCACAUUGGGACUGAGACACGGCCCAAACUCCUACGGGAGGCAGCAGUGGGGGAUAUUGCACAAUGGGGGAAACCCUGAUGCAGCGACGCCGCGUGAGUGAAGAAGUAUUUCGGUAUGUAAAGCUCUAUCAGCAGGGAAGAAAAUGACGGUACCUGACUAAGAAGCCCCGGCUAACUACGUGCCAGCAGCCGCGGUAAUACGUAGGGGGCAAGCGUUAUCCGGAUUUACUGGGUGUAAAGGGAGCGUAGACGGCAAGACAAGCCAGAUGUGAAAGGCAGGGGCUCAACCCCUGGACUGCAUUUGGAACUGCCUGGCUAGAGUGUCGGAGAGGUAAGUGGAAUUCCUAGUGUAGCGGUGAAAUGCGUAGAUAUUAGGAGGAACACCAGUGGCGAA